rfam:Heterocephalus glaber contig89069, whole genome shotgun sequence.
GUGUGCGGUGCUUUUCACAAGAAGGUGUCAUUCACGUAGACUAAAAUCUGAGUGGCAUCUUUUUGAGAAGAACAAUGUACCA